AGUGAACGCUGGCGGCAGGCCUAACACAUGCAAGUCGAACGGAUGAAGAGAGCUUGCUCCUGGAUUCAGCUGCGGACGGGUGAGUAAUGCCUAGGAAUCUGCCUGGUAGUGGGUGAUAACGUCCGGAAACGGGCGCUAAUACCGCAUACGUCCUGAGGGAGAAAGUGUGGAAUCUUCGGACCUCACGCUAUCAGAUGAGCCUAGGUCGGAUUAGCUAGUUGGUGGGGUAAAGGCCUACCAAGGCGACGAUCCGUAACUGGUCUGAGAGGAUGAUCAGUCACACUGGAACUGAGACACGGUCCAGACUCCUACGGGAGGCAGCAGUGGGGAAUAUUGGACAAUGGGCGCAAGCCUGAUCCAGCCAUGCCGCGUGUGUGAAGAAGGUCUUCGGAUUGUAAAGCACUUUAAGUUGGGAGGAAGGGCAGUAAGUUAAUACCUCGCUGUUUUGACGUUACCAAAAGAAUAAGCACCGGCUAACUUCGUG
rnacentral:rRNA from 1 species